rnacentral:rRNA from 1 species
GGGUUAAGUCCGUAACGAGCGCAACCUGUCCUAGUUACCAGCACGUUAUGGUGGGCACUCUAAGGAGACUGCCGGUGACAAACCGGAGGAAGGUGGGGAUGACGUCAAGUCAUCAUGGCCCUUACGGCCUGGGCUACACACGUGCUACAAUGGUCGGUACAAAGGGUUGCCAAGCCGCGAGGUGGAGCUAAUCCCAUAAAACCGAUCGUAGUCCGGAUCGCAGUCUGCAACUCGACUGCGUGAAGUCGGAAUCGCUAGUAAUCGUGAAUCAGAAUGUCACGGUGAAUACGUUCCCGGGCCUU